UACGAAGGGGGCUAGCGUUGCUCGGAAUCACUGGGCGUAAAGGGUGCGUAGGCGGGUUUUUAAGUCAGGGGUGAAAUCCUGGAGCUCAACUCCAGAACUGCCUUUGAUACUGAAGAUCUUGAGUUCGGGAGAGGUGAGUGGAACUGCGAGUGUAGAGGUGAAAUUCGUAGAUAUUCGCAAGAACACCAGUGGCGAAGGCGGCUCACUGGCCCGAUACUGACGCUGAGGUGCGAAAGCGUGGGGAGCAAACAGG
rnacentral:rRNA from 1 species